rnacentral:lncRNA from 1 species
AUGAGUAUACUCAGGCUUCAGAAGAGGCUCGCCUCUAGCAUCCUCUGCUGCGGCAAGAAGAAGGUCUGGUUGGAUCCCGGUGAGACCAGUGAAAUCGCCAAUGUCAACUCACGUCAGCAGAUCCGGAAGCUGAUAAGAGAUGGGCUGAUCAUCCUUAAGCCUGUGCCUGUCCAUUCCCAGGCUCAAUGCUGGAAAAAUACCUUGGCCGGCCGUAAGGGCAGGCAACAUGGGCAUAGGUAAGCAAAAGGGUACAGCCAAUGCCCGAAUGCCAGAGAAGAUCACGUGGAUGAGGAGAAUGAGGAUUCUGCGCCUGCUGCUCAGAAGAUACUGUGAAUCUAAGAAGAUUGAUUGCUACAUGUAUCACAGCCUGUACCUGAAGGUGAAGGGGAAUGUGUUCAAAAACAAGUGGAUUCUCAGGGAACACAGCCACAAGCUAAGAUAGACAGGGCCCGCAAGAAGCUCCUGGCUGACCAGGCUGAGGCCAGCUGGUCUAUGACCAAGUGAGCACGCAAGUGCUGUGAAGAGCGUCUCCAGGCCGAGAAGAAGGAGAUAAUCCAGACUUUGUCCAAGGAGGAAGAGAUCAAGAAAUAA